UUUGAACAAAAUGUGACUUUUGUGUUCAUCUAUUUUUUGCGUAUCAAUAAAAUAGAUAAACUUAUCUUGCCUUAAUGCUACGUUUUUCAUAAAUCAGGAAUUAAAUAGUUUAGGGAGUAGGGACCGGGGAGGCUAACCCAUUCAAGAGGUUGGUGUGUACCACCACAAACCUUGGUGAGGGCUUACAGCAAUGUUCACAAAUUGCCAAACAUGACAGUUUGAGUUGAACUUAAGCUUUUCAAUAGAUGUGGUUUGACCCUGACUUGAGGGAGUGUCUUUCCUACUUUUCCGUUUUUACGAGAUUAAUUUUGAUCUUACGUUACAAUGUUUAAUGAAGAGAAGGGAAAAGUUGUAUUUUCUAAAGCCAAUUGAAUCUUUCAUUUGUUAUAGAUCUGUGGUCUGUGAUAGUUCUUUCCAUGGUCUGCAAAUAAAUAUAUUGGUAAUUAUGGCUUUCUGAAAUGGAAAAGAUCUAAUAAUUUGUUUCUUUUGUUGUUGUAUAGUAUAUUAGGCCUGGUGCGACAACAAUACCCGGAGCUCCUGGUGCUGCUCAAGGAGGUCCUCCUGGUCAGAUUCGUCCACUUGCUAACAUGAUUGGUCGGGGUAGAGGAGAUUGGAGACCACCUGGAAUAAAAGGGGCUAUUGGUAUGCAAAAAGGUUUUCAUACAGGUCCUGGACAACCUAGUUGGGGAAACAAUGCUGCAGGGCGGGGUUUUGGUGGUGGAUUGGAAUUCACUCUUCCUUCUCACAAGUAAUAUUUUUGUGAACCUAUAUGUUAUUGUUUUUCUUUCUUUAGCUGUAUUAAGACACUAGGUUCCAAGUGACUGUUAUUAGUUAUUAAUGUAUGUUCAGAUUAGGUUAUGCUGGGUAAAUAGUCGCCAUUUUGGCAGCUUCCUAAGCUACCUUCUGAACAAAGCUGUUCUUUUUCCUUCCAAACAUGGGCUUACCAUGCAAGGCAUUUUCGAAAUGGUACAGUAGCAAUACAAUAUAUUGUUUCAAAUCCUAAAAUAUCAUUAAUGAAUAGAAAGAGGUCAGCUCCUGUAUGUUUAUUGUUUUGGGUUGAUUUUGAUAAGUAUCUAAGCACUUGGGAAAUGCUGUCUUAAAAGCUAGCUAUCAAGGGGGAAGAACCGAGCCACUUAAAUACGCCACUAAGCAUCCCAUAUUACUCGAUGUGGGACUUAGGCACCCCAUAAUACCCAAGUUCCUAUCACAGCACCGCCCCUGAGAGCUGAUGUCCUGGUGACUUCUGAGAUUCUGGCAACUAGCUCUAAUACCAAUUUGAUAGAUAUCUAAACCCUUAGAGACCCUCAUGAUAGAUAUCUAAACCUUUAGGGAACCCUCAUUUAAAAGCUAGCUAUCAAAGGGAAUAAAAUAAUGAAGUUGAUGCAAGUGGUAGCCUAACAACUCCUCCCAAUGAUAUUAAUUAUUGAUCUAUUACCACUAAUUCCAUUGAUAUGCACUUAUUUGUCUUGUUGAUUUAUCUCCCUGAUUAUAUACAACUAAAACUGCACACUCCUAUAUUUCAAUAACGCAGCCGUGUGCUUUCUUUUGGCUAAUAAUUUUUUCUGACAAAUAGCUUGCUGAUUAAUGAACAAUUUUUGAUGUUUGAAGCUUGGAUUACAUAUGCAAAUCUUGUAGUUAGAGUUUUGUUACAAAUGCACAUCUGAUGUUGUGCAGGAUGCUUUUAUUUCCAUUGUUUUGAUGUUUCUGUUGACGUAUACCUAAAUCUCAGUUAUGUCACCUGGUUGGUGCUAAUAUAAACUACCAUUUGUUUUCAGGACUAUAUUUGAUGUCGAUAUUGAGAGUUUUGAGGAGAAAUUGUGGAAAUAUCCAAAUGUUGAUGCAUCAGAUUUUUUCAACUUUGGUUUGAAUGAAGAGACCUGGAAAGAUUAUUGUAAACAGCUGGUAAAAUUAUUAAGUUACUUUCUAUAUUUUCCACAAGUUUAGUGUUGACUGAUCAAACUCUUGUAUGUGACUUUUUAGGAGCAACUACGCCUGGAGUCUACAAUGCAAAGCAAGAUCCGUGUUUACGAGAGUGGUCGAACAGAGCACGUAGAAGAUCUAUUUUCAUUUUUAAUUAGUUCCUUAUUUUACUGAGCUGUUUUGGGGCAACCAUUUUUUCUGUUAAAUUAAUCAUCUAUUUAAUUUCGCUCCAGGAUUAUGAUCCAGAUUUGCCCCCUGAAUUGGCUGCAGCUACUGGUUUACACGACGGUGCUGUUGAAAAUGCAAAUUCUGUAAAAUCCGAUGUGGGACAAAGUGAUGUUAUGAAAGGUUCUGGACGCAUGCGACCGCCGAUGGUAUGCAUUUGUCAAAAUGCUUUGUUAAUUUCUGUAAAAAAAUCUGUUUGCUUCUUGGCCUGCUUGCUUCUGGUCAAUAUUCUAAUAUAAUAACAUGUGUGGUAAAUAUUUUGCCUUCCUCUAUUUCUGUCUCCAUACUCAUAAAUUUAUUUUCUACAGCCAACUGGUAGAGCAAUACAGGUGGAAGGUGGCUAUGGAGAACGUCUUCCUACCAUUGAUACCCGUCCUCCUCGAUUGCGUGAUUCAGAUGCAAUAAUUGAGGUAUUUGAUGAUUUUUUCACAAAAAGCUUAUGGGAUAAUGAAAUAAACCUUUUUAUGGUUACAUCCUGCAUAUACAAUGUAUAUAUGACAAUAUUUUUUGUGAACAGAUUGUUUUACAGGGUGCCGAAGAUGAUGAUUCCUCUGUGGGAAUAGGUGUCCAAGAUCAAUCAGAGGAUGGAGAACCCCAGAGAGAGAGUUUUAGAGAAGACGUUGAAGCUGGAGAUGAACCAAGUUUGGAGCCUGAGUAUUCUGAUGGUAUUCCACAGGAUUAUAACCGACGAAAGAAAGAGCAUGCAGGAAGAAAAAUGCCAUUUGCGACUUCUGUUUCUUCUAAUGUAGCUAAUGAAGAUGAAAGCUUGUUCGUCUCACAGGAUGAGCCAAUUGAAUACUCUGGUUCAAGGGGCCAAAAUCCCAGGUCUUAUGGUGGCAAUUCCAGCUCUUCUCAAGAGGAAAGGUAUUGAACAGUCUAUAUUCCCUAAAAGAGGAAUUUUAUCCUCUAUCUGUAUGCUUCUGUUUUCAUCUCUGCCGUGAUUUAUUGUUCUAUCAUUUUUGUUGCAUUUGAUACUGAUAGGCAUAGAGAUAUCAGCAAAUGUGGCAAGUCUAAAAUCCUAAGACAUGUAUCCUCAGACAUGUAUUCAACUGUGGGUCUUUGCAGCAAAUAAAGUUUGUAUUCCCAUGCAGCAUGAACUAGCUAAUAUAUAUAUAUAUAUAUUAACUUGAUUGUGAGCGAGGUUAAGCUACAUUGAUGUGCUUGAAUUAAUUUAGGAUGUCACUCAACAGUCAAAUGAGUUAUUGGAGAAGCAAAUUUUGAGCUUAAUUUAAAUCAUAUUGAAGAUAUAUUCACUUGAGAAAGGAAGUGCUACGAUUAAGAUAAAGAUUUAAUAUUGUACUCCCUCCGUCCUAAAUUGUAUGACGUUUUGGCCAUUUCACACGUAUUAAGAAAUGUAAUUAAUAUUGUGUGGGGAAGAGAAAUUAUGAGUUGUAUUACAAAAUUAUCCCUAAUAAAUGGUAUGGAAAAAAUAAAUGAAAUAAUUGAAAGAAGAGUGAGUAAUUAAUAGUUAAGGAUAUAAUAGGAAAAGUAACAUUAAUAUUUCAUUGGUAUUGUAAAGCGACAUAUAAUUUGGGACAAAUUUUUUUUCCAAAGCGACAUACAAUUUGGGACGGAGGGAGUAUAACCAGUGAGAAGUCAACAGUGCAUUAAAAAGGCUACGAUUAAGAUAAAGAUUUAAUAUUUUAUAACCAGUGAGAAGUCAACAGUGCAUUAAAAAGCUGUUCUUCUGGAAUCAAACUUAGAGAUAAAAAGAAUUGCUAGUUACUUAAAUACAAUUUUUUUUUGCAUUUAGGACUUUUUUUUUUCAUGUGUACAUUAUUGUGUUGUUUUUUUUCGAAUGCUCAUUGUUUCAACAUAGUUAUUUUUAUUGCAUUUUCAUCCAUCAUUUUUGUUAAUCAUCUAUAAUUAAUUAAUAGCAUCUUUGCUUUUGUAUUUACAGGAAAAUGCAAAAAACAGUGCGUAGUCAAUCUCCUAUUAGUCCUAUCCGAAAACUGAAUACAGAUGACAAUAAAAAAGAAGAUUCAGUUGAAAGCAUGGAAGUCAAAGAUACCACACUUUCGUCUUCUCCUGUCAUUGAGGAUGUAAAACAGUCCAGUUUGGAGGACAAAGAUGGCGAGCUUGAGGAUACUGGGACCGCUGAUGGAAGUCCUAGAUUGGGAAAGAAAGAAACCGAUUUAAAUGCAGUAGACAAGGUUGAUGUCCUCAAGGAUGGGAUAGAUAAGAAACAGAAUUUGACAUCUCAAGUUGAGCAACCUUUGCUCGAUGAAAGUGAUGAUUGGGAGGACAUAAAAGCUGCCAGAAGCAGCGAUAACAGCAAAGCAAGAUCAGCAAGCAGCAGAGAUAAUCAGAAGCGACGAGAGGGUCUUGAUGAAGAAGUAGUCCAGGAUCCACGAUCAACACGUCUGGCUAGCAUCAGACAACACCCUGAUGAAAAUGAGCAGGGAUUCUAUAGAAAAGAGCAUGAUGGAAAGCAAGAUCCCGAAAGAAAUCACAUGGUACUUAGAGGUAGAGAGGGAUCAUACCCUUACAAGGACCGGCAUCGUAGCUUGGCCCAUCAAUUGCAUACAAAUACUGACGGAUUUGAUAGGCAAAAAGAUAGGGACAGUUCUGACAUGGAUUGGGCAAGGAGAGAUGAUGAUGUCUAUAACAGAAAGGUUAGAACUAAUGAACCUAGAAAGAGGGAUAGGGCUAAGCUUCGAGAAAAUGAGAGAAACGACAAAGAAGAUAGCUUUCACUCUAGAAAGCAGUUGGAUAAUGGUAGCUACAGGAUUCCUUAUGAAAAGGAUGUUGGUUCACGAGACUCAAGACACAGGGAAAGAGAUGAGGGCGUGAGGGUUAGGUACGAAGCUGUGGAGGAUUACCAUAUCAAGAGGAGAAAGGACGAGGAGUAUCUUAGGAGGGAACAUAUGGACAAAGAAGAAAUUCCACAUGGCUACAGAGAAAAUGCUAGUCGGCGUAGACGAGAAAGAGAUGAGGUACAAAGAAGUAGAGAUUACCCUGAUGAUCAGUACACCAAUAGGCAGAAAGAUGAUGCCUGGCUAAUGCAGGAGAGGGGCGAUAGGCAAAGAGAUAGGGAGGAGUGGCAUCGGUUGAAACUGUCCCAUGAUGGACCCCUACCCAAGCGUGAAAGAGAAGAAGGAAGGAGUUCUGGAAGAAAUGUACGAGGGGCUGAAGAAAAAGCAUGGGUUGGCCGUGUUAGUGCUAAAGAUGAACAUAAACUUUCUGAGAAAGAUUACCAAUCUAGGGAAUCAGUUCGACACAAUGACCAACUAAAGAGAAGGGAUCGGAUUCCAGAAGAAAGUUCACAUCAUAAGGGGCGGGAUGAUGCUUAUUCCCGUGGAAAUCAAUAUACUGCUGAAGAAAGGCGAUCUAGGCAGGAAAGGUCAAGUAGUCGUAGUGAUCGUGUUGCUAAUGCUUCAGAUAACCAAAGACUUCACGAGAGGAAACACAAAGAGGGCUCAAGGAAAAGCAAAGAGCGUGAUAUUAGUGACCUCAAUAGUUUAGGUCUGUCCAAGAAAAGUCUAGAAAAUCCAAAUGGUCCAUCGAAUGAGAAGGUAUGCAUUACGGUAGCAUGUAAAAUCUGAAAACUCUAGCUGGAGAAUUAAAUACUUGAUGAAAAUAAGCAUUAUUGAUAUGUGCUUCCUAGAAUCAAAAUUGGGCUGGGAGUUAUGGUGAGCUGGCAAUUUAGUUGCUGUUAUUAUUUGACUUGUUGUUUCAGGCCACAUAAUACAUGGAAAGGAAGGCUUGAUUGUGAUCAAUUAACUAGCUUUAAAUUUCCAUUAAUGCUGCUCACCUAACUUCAUGGGGGGAGUAAGAAAUUAGAAGACAUGCCCUUUUGAGGCAUGGUUUUGAAACAAAAUGUGAUGAGGAUAAAUCUAGCACUGUUAAUAAGAAUUUUUAACAUCUGCAUUAUGGUAGUUAUUCUCAAGUAUAUUGAUUGUGUAUGAAGUAAUGCUAGCAACACUCAUUCUAACACACUCUUUUUAACACUCACUCUCUUGUUGAGUGAAACACACAUGGAUCACAUCACUUUGUGGGACCCAUUCUCAAAGUGGCGUGACUUGCAUGUAUUUCACCCAAUAAGAAAGU
rnacentral:lncRNA from 1 species